rnacentral:lncRNA from 1 species
GUGGGGAACUCGCUUAAGCCGAGCUCAGUUCUCGCAUACUAAAGAGAAAGGUCUGAUCAGCCUAAAAGUCUCAAAAGCAUUGCCACAAGGCCACAAAAGGUUAAAAAGCGGACUUUGCAAACCCGUAUAUAAUUUUAACCAAACCCCCUUGGGUCACAACCUAGAAAGGUUUAAAAGCCUCCUCAGGCAAAUAUCUUGUUCAAAAGAAAAAUAAAGCCUCCUUAGG